AUCGAGUUCCAGCGCUUCGGCCGACACGUCCGCAUCGCCGAGAGCGUGCUCAACGCCUACAUCGCUACCUGCACCAUCGCCCCGAUCACACGUC
rnacentral:misc_RNA from 1 species